AAAAGUCUACCUGUACUUCUAUAGGAAGGUGUAUAUCCUACACCCGUAUGAUCCAACGGCUAUUAUUAGAUCACUAGCACAGUAGCAGCUAACUUCACUCUCCUUUUUAUUUCUUUCUAAAGCUAAACCCUACUACACAUCUCUCUCUCUCUCUCUCCCGUACACCUCCUUCUCGCUCCCGCUCGCUCCCUCGGUCCCGCUCGCUCCCUCGCCUCUCUCUUGAUCUCGCGCCUCUCUCGUCACCUCUCUCGUCAUCUCACGCUCUCCCCUUUCUCUUUCUCUUUCUCUUGCUCUCGCUCGCAGGGCACUGCACUCCAUCGGGCAGAAGUUCGGCAUUGCUCGUUCCACACAUCUCGUGUCCGAAGCCAUCUCGAAGGUGUCUCUCGGCCUCGCCUUUCUCCAUUGGUAGGAGGUCGCCUCUCAACUGCUCCCCUGUCCAUCCCAGU
rnacentral:lncRNA from 1 species